AUAUAUAUAUAUAUAUAUAUAUAUAUAGAGAGAGAGAGAGAGAGAGAGAGAGAGAGUUUUGCUAGAAUACUAUCGGUAGUAAACGGCUCGAUUUACUACCGAUUUGUUUUUGAUGAUAGAGCUUCCAAAUUGAUGAUCGGCACCGUUAAACAUGGUCUAAACUAUUUAAACUAUCUGAAAAUUAAAUUUCACACAUUUUCGAUAUUGCUCUCUUGUCCAUCAAGUGAACAAAAAAAUAAAUAGCUGGAAAUGAAUAUCCUUCAAAAAGUGAUAAUACAAUUUUUAUAUUUGAGAUCUAGAGUCUAGAUCUUAUUUUAAAUAGUUUAAAGAAUUUUUUAACAAAAAUUUAGUUGAUUUGAACUCUUCUAUACCGUUAAACGAACAAACGCACCAUAUCGGCCAUUAAAAUUAUAGAUUUUGUGACCCUUUAAUCAUUCAGUUAGAGAUGCCAAAAAAUUAUAAAAUUUGAUUUUUAGAUAAUUUAAAUGGUUUAGAUCAUGUUCAACGGUGUCGAUCGUCAAUUUAGAAGCUCUAUCAUCAAAAACAAAUCGGUAGUAAAUCGAGUAGUUUACUACCGAUAGUAGCCCAGUCAAACUCUCUCUCUCUCUCUCUCUCUCUCUCUCUCUCUCUCUAGGCCAUGGCUACUAUACUAUUAUGAGUAUUGGAGCCCUCCUACUCAUAAGUUGUUUUCAAUGAUGGAGCUUCCGAAUCAACGAUCCACUCCGUUAAAUAUGAUCUAGAGUAUUUGAAACUUCUAAAAAAUAAAUUUCGUAAAUUUUUGAAAUCAUAAUAAAGUCCAUCAAGUGGGCAUAAAAUGAACGGUCAAAAUCGAACAACGUCCUAAAAAAAGUUGAUCGGAUCCUUCAAUUCAAGAUCGGAGUUAUUGAUCUUUAUCUAUAUAGUGAAUAGAAUUUUCUAUCAAAAAUUCAACAAAUUCUGAUUCUUUUAUACCGUUAAACUAGCAAGUAUCCCAUACCGACCGUUAAAAAUUGUCAAAUUUGUAACCUCUUGAUCGUAAGGUAAAUGAUGUCGAAAAAUUAUAAAAUUUGAUUUCUAGAAGUUUUAAAUGCUGUAAAUAACAUUUAAUGGUGUGGAUCGUCGAAUCGGAAGCUCUAUCAUCGAAAACAACUUAUGAGUACGAGGACGAUCGUACUCAUAAUAGUAUAGUAGCCGGACCCCAUUGGUUAAUAAUAUUAAUUCAAUGGUUAGAAAUGAUCAAUGAGGUUGAUGUAAAGGCUAAAAAAUCGGAAGCACCAACUACUUUAUACUUCCGAUAGCAUAUUAG
rnacentral:lncRNA from 1 species